CGCUUCUUGCUUUGGCAUUCACGCUAAUAGUGUUGUAAAUAACGUUCAGUUUCUUGCAAAAACUGAUUGAUUUGCUUCACAAGACGUCAAUAUGUCACACGGAGUUAUGGGGGAUUACUUUUGUAUUGGAUAUAUAUGCUUUAGCUCCCAAAGUGUGCGGAUCGGUUGACUUGCAUGACGGAGCACUGGGCGUAUAUAUUUUAAUUGUAAUAAUAAGUAAUUUUAGUUGUUUGUUUUAUUUCAUUAUGAUUGUUUGUUUGCUGUUUAAAUGAUAAAUAUAAUAUUAUAGUCAGUUGGUCAGCCCGCUUGUUAGAAAAGCUCUUGCAAAUAUCUUGUCUGAGGUCAUUGACACUGCUGUGACAUGUACAUCUAGGAUGCGGACUAUCCAGAUGAGCUUCACACAAAUGCCAGCACACCGACAGUGGAAGACACGAGUCAGGACUCUCCCCCCACGAGAUCCCUACUCAUAACCGUUUCUCCCCCCUUAAUGAGACCGGAUGCUCUGUUGGGAUCACCGGGGACUCCAUCGUUUGGCAUGUACACGCUACAUCAGGUGUAGGUAAGACGCACACUCACUGCUUCCCUGGUGCUUUUGUUCUCUCUGUUUCUGCGCAGGCGCCUGGAUAAUGAAGACUGACAAAAGCAUUGAGAAGUCCAGCAGUCGGAGAUCCUAAAGAGGGAUUCCAUAAGUUUAGUCGAGGCAGUACACCGUACAUCUCCUUUGAUUUUCAUCAGUCCUCCAGUCAAAUUAAAUUUCAAGGUAAGAUUGCUUUACAUGUCUUUCAUUGUGCUUUAGUGA